rnacentral:rRNA from 1 species
UACGUAGGGCGCAAGCGUUGUCCGGAAUUAUUGGGCGUAAAGAGCUCGUAGGCGGUCUGUUACGUCUGCUGUGAAAACCCAGGGCUUAACCCUGGGCUUGCAGUGGAUACGGGCAGACUAGAGGCAGGUAGGGGAGAAUGGAAUUCCCGGUGUAGCGGUGAAAUGCGCAGAUAUCGGGAGGAACACCGGUGGCGAAGGCGGUUCUCUGGGCCUGACCUGACGCUGAGGAGCGAAAGCGUGGGGAGCGAUCCGG